rnacentral:tRNA from 1 species
UCCCUGGUGGUCCAGUGUUUAGAACUCCGCACUUCCACUGCAGGAGGCCUGGGUUCAAUCCCUGGUCUGGGAA